rnacentral:rRNA from 1 species
CCUACGGGUGGCAGCAGUCGAGAAUCAUUCACAAUGGGGGAAACCCUGAUGGUGCGACGCCGCGUGGGGGAAUGAAGGUCUUCGGAUUGUAAACCCCUUUCAUGUGGGAGCAAAUUCAAAAGAUAGUACCACAAGAGGAAGAGACGGCUAACUCUGUGCCAGCAGCCGCGGUAAUACAGAGGUCUCAAGCGGUGUUCGGAAUGACUGGGCGUAAAGCGUGCGUAGUCUGUGUCGUAAGUCGUGUGUGAAAGGCGCGGGCUCAACCCGCGGACGGCAGAUGAUACUGGGAGACUAGAGUAAUGGAGGGGGAAGCGGAAUGCGCGGUGUAGCGGUGAAAUGCGUAGAUAUCGAGAGGAACACUGGUGGCGAAGGCGGGUUCCUGGACAUUAACUGACGUUGAGGCACGAAGGCGAGGGGAGCGAAAGGGAUUAGAUACCCUUGUAGUC